rnacentral:rRNA from 1 species
GACGAACGCUGGCGGCGUGCUUAACACAUGCAAGUCGAACGGUGACGAGGAGCUUGCUCCUCUGAUCAGUGGCGAACGGGUGAGUAACACGUGAGUAACCUGCCCCAGACUCUGGAAUAACAGUUGGAAACAGCUGCUAAUACCGGAUACGAGACAGAGAGGCAUCUCUCCUGUCUGGAAAGUUUUUCGGUCUGGGAUGGACUCGCGGCCUAUCAGCUUGUUGGUGAGGUAAUGGCUCACCAAGGCGACGACGGGUAGCCGGCCUGAGAGGGCGACCGGCCACACUGGGACUGAGACACGGCCCAGACUCCUACGGGAGGCAGCAGUGGGGAAUAUUGCACAAUGGGCGAAAGCCUGAUGCAGCGACGCCGCGUGAGGGAUGACGGCCUUCGGUUGUAACGUCUUCUAGCAGGAGAAGCGAAGUAGACGGUACCUGCAGAGAAGCACGGCUAACUACGUGCCAGCAGCCGCGGUAAUCUCG